AUUGAACGCUGGCGGCAGGCCUAACACAUGCAAGUCGAGCGAGCGGCGGACGGGUGAGUAAUGUAUGGGGACUGCCCGCUAGAGGGGGAUAACUACUGGAAACGGUAGCUAAUACCGCAUACUAUCGGAUAACCCAUAUGGGAUUAGCUAGUAGGUGAGGUAAUGGCUCACCUAGGCUACGAUCCCUAGCUGGUCUGAGAGGAUGAUCAGCCACCUGGGGACUGAGAAACGGCCCAUACUACUACGGAGGCAGAAGUGGGGAAUAUUGCACAAUGGGCGCAAGCCUGAUGCAGCCAAGCCGGGUGUAGGAAGAAGGCCCUAGGGUUGUAAAGUACUUUCAUUCGGGAGGCGUUACCGACAGAAGAAGCACCGGCUAACUCCGUGCCAGCAGCCGCGGUAAUUC
rnacentral:rRNA from 1 species